rnacentral:rRNA from 1 species
UACGUAGGGGGCAAGCGUUGUCCGGAUUUAUUGGGCGUAAAGCGCGUGUAGGUGGCCAAGUAGGUCCGCUGUGAAAACUUGAGGCUCAACCUCAAGCUGUCGGUGGAAACCCCUUGGCUAGAGUCCGGAAGAGGAGAGUGGAAUUCCUGGUGUGAGCGGUGAAAUGCGCAGAUAUCAGGAAGAACACCAAUGGCGAAGGCAGCUCUCUGGGACGGUACUGACACUGAGACGC